rnacentral:rRNA from 1 species
GCCAUGCAUGUCUCAGUACAUGCCUAAUUAAGGUGAAACCGCGAAUGGCUCAUUAAAUCAGUUAUGGUUCCUUAGAUCGUACCCACAUUUACUUGGAUAACUGUGGUAAUUCUAGAGCUAAUACAUGCAAACUAGAAUUCCGACCAGAGAUGGAAGGAAUGCUUUUAUUAGAUCAAAACCAAUCGGUGGUAUAUAAUUUAUUAUAUAUCCAUCGUUAAUUUUGAUGACUCUGAAUAACUUUGUGCUGAUCGCAUGGUCUUGUACCGGCGACGAAUCUUUCAAAUGUCUGCCUUAUCAACUGUCGAUGGUAGGUUCUGCGCCUACCAUGGUUGUAACGGGUAACGGGGAAUCAGGGUUCGAUUCCGGAGAGGGAGCCUGAGAAACGGCUACCACAUCCAAGGAAGGCAGCAGGCGCGCAAAUUACCCACUCCCGGCACGGGGAGGUAGUGACGAAAAAUAACGAUACGGGACUCAUCCGAGGCCCCGUAAUCGGAAUGAGUACACUUUAAAUCCUUUAACGAGGAUCCAUUGGAGGGCAAGUCUGGUGCCAGCAGCCGCGGUAAUUCCAGCUCCAAUAGCGUAUAUUAAAGUUGUUGCGGUUAAAAAGCUCGUAGUUGAAUUUGUGUGCCACGCUGUCGGUUCAUCGCUCGCGAUGUUUAACUGGCAUGAUUGUGGGACGUCCUACCGGUGGAUUUAGCUUUAUAUAUUUUCGAAUAUAUUUAGCGAUCCAGUUUAUAUCCCGUCGCGGUGCUCUUUAUUGAGUGUCGAGGUGGGCCGGUACGUUUACUUUGAACAAAUUAGAGUGCUUAAAGCAGGCUUUUUUUGCCUGAAUACUGUGUGCAUGGAAUAAUAGAAUAGGACCUCGGUUCUAUUUUGUUGGUUUUCGGAACCCCGAGGUAAUGAUUAAUAGGGACAGAUG